UGCCAGCAGCCGCGGUAAUACGUAGGUGGCGAGCGUUGUCCGGAAUUACUGGGUGUAAAGGGCGUGUAGGCGGGAAUGCAAGUCAGAUGUGAAAUGCCGAGGCUUAACUUCGGAGCUGCAUCUGAAACUGCGUUUCUUGAGUGUCGGAGAGGAAAGUGGAAUUCCCAGUGUAGCGGUGAAAUGCGUAGAUAUUGGGAGGAACACCAGUGGCGAAGGCGACUUUCUGGACGAUAACUGACGCUGAGGCGCGAAAGCGUGGGGAGCAAACAGGAUUAGAUACCCUGGUAGUCCACGCCGUAAACGAUGGAUACUAGGUGUGGGAGGUAUCGACCCCUUCCGUGCCGCAGUUAACACAAUAAGUAUCCCACCUGGGGAGUACGGCCGCAAGGUUGAAACUUAAAGGAAUUGGCGGGGGA
rnacentral:rRNA from 1 species